UUACACGGAGUUUUUCCAAAAAAAAAAAAAAGUCAACUUUAUUGUUGUGAAGUGGAAGCAACCUAUUAUGUGAAGACCUCAUAGGCGAAUGCCAGAUUGCAGCUAUCUUCCUCGAACAGAGGGGGAGGUCAGAGGAAAAAGGGAGCGACUUAACCCACCCAGUCCUGCCUUUUAAAAGGAAUGCAGGAAAGAUCGGAUGUUGUGAAGUGGAAGCAACUUAUUAUGUGAAGACCUCAUAGGCAAAUGCCAGAUUGCAGCUAUCUUCCUCAAACAGAGGGGAAGGUCAGAGGAAAAAGGGAGUGACUUUACCCACCCAGCCCUGCCUUUCAGGAAAGAUCGGAUACUGUGGCAGUUUAGAUAGUUGAAUUCCAAAAAAAAAAAAAAAAAGUCAAACUUUAUUGUUGUGAAGUGGAAGCAACCUAUUAUGUGAAGACCUCAUAGGCAAAUGCCAGAUUGAAGUGGAAGCAACCUAUUAUGUCAAACUUUAUUGUUGCAGUAGUUUAGAUAGUUGAAUAGGAUGCCGUCCCCCAAGAGGCCGGUGCCACGGAGUCUGCCAUUGCUUCAAAGGAUACUACUACUAAAUAAGAUGUUGUUGCCCAACCUCCUUAGCCGAAUCAGUCUCUGUUGCUUAAUUUACAGACUCCAUGUACUCACUUGAAAUGAAGCCAA
rnacentral:lncRNA from 1 species